AGAGUUUGAUCCUGGCUCAGAACGAACGCUGGCGGCAGGCCUAACACAUGCAAGUCGAGCGCACCUUCGGGUGAGCGGCGGACGGGUUAGUAACGCGUGGGAACAUACCCUUUUCUACGGAAUAGCCUCGGGAAACUGAGAGUAAUACCGUAUAAGCCCUUCGGGGGAAAGAUUUAUCGGGAAAGGAUUGGCCCGCGUUAGAUUAGAUAGUUGGUGGGGUAAUGGCCUACCAAGUCUACGAUCUAUAGCUGGUUUUAGAGGAUGAUCAGCAACACUGGGACUGAGACACGGCCCAGACUCCUACGGGAGGCAGCAGUGGGGAAUCUUAGACAAUGGGCGCAAGCCUGAUCUAGCCAUGCCGCGUGUGUGAUGAAGGUCUUAGGAUCGUAAAGCACUUUCGCCAGGGAUGAUAAUGACAGUACCUGGUAAAGAAACCCCGGCUAACUCCGUGCCAGCAGCCGCGGUAAUACGGAGGGGGUUAGCGUUGUUCGGAAUUACUGGGCGUAAAGCGUACGUAGGCGGAUUGGAAAGUUGGGGGUGAAAUCCCAGGGCUCAACCCUGGAACUGCCUCCAAAACUAUCAGUCUAGAGUUCGAGAGAGGUGAGUGGAAUUCCAAGUGUAGAGGUGAAAUUCGUAGAUAUUUGGAGGAACACCAGUGGCGAAGGCGGCUCACUGGCUCGAUACUGACGCUGAGGUACGAAAGUGUGGGGAGCAAACAGGAUUAGAUACCCUGGUAGUCCACACCGUAAACGAUGAAUGCCAGUCGUCGGGCAGUAUACUGUUCGGUGACACACCUAACGGAUUAAGCAUUCCGCCUGGGGAGUACGGUCGCAAGAUUAAAACUCAAAGGAAUUGAC
rnacentral:rRNA from 1 species